UGAAUAUUUUGAUUGGAAUUGAGUACAAAGGCUUCACCAUAGAGAUGGUGGGGGCUCCGGUGACUAUUGGCGAUUAGAGGCUUGCCGGUGAAGCUUUGUUACGUACGUUACCCCUUUAUUUCUUCCUCUCUAUUUUUAUUUUUAUUUUUUAUUUUUAACAAAAAUUCAGUAUUUAGAACCCAAAAACUAGUAUCCGAUUCACCGGUUCCAGUAGAACCAAACGAUUAACCAGAUAUUUUGCUAAAUUCUCUACAUCCGAUUUUUACCGUAUGAUAGGAUUGAAUUUCGGCUCAGUUCCUGAUUUUUUUGGUAAGAUCGAUUGAUCCGUUUGAUUUUCAUUACGCCGGUUAUAAUCAUUAGGAUCGUUAAAAUCCAAUAACAGGAUCAUAACAUUCUCCUAUUUUUAGAUCCUACAAUCUCUCUCUCUCUCUAUAUAUAUAUAAUAA
rnacentral:lncRNA from 1 species